rnacentral:rRNA from 1 species
GAGAGUUUGAUCCUGGCUCAGAUUGAACGCUGGCGGCAGGCCUAACACAUGCAAGUCGAGCGGUAGCACAGAGAGCUUGCUCUCGGGUGACGAGCGGCGGACGGGUGAGUAAUGUCUGGGAAACUGCCUGAUGGAGGGGGAUAACUACUGGAAACGGUAGCUAAUACCGCAUAAUGUCGCAAGACCAAAGUGGGGGACCUUCGGGCCUCAUGCCAUCAGAUGUGCCCAGAUGGGAUUAGCUAGUAGGUGGGGUAACGGCUCACCUAGGCGACGAUCCCUAGCUGGUCUGAGAGGAUGACCAGCCACACUGGAACUGAGACACGGUCCAGACUCCUACGGGAGGCAGCAGUGGGGAAUAUUGCACAAUGGGCGCAAGCCUGAUGCAGCCAUGCCGCGUGUGUGAAGAAGGCCUUCGGGUUGUAAAGCACUUUCAGCGGGGAGGAAGGCGUUAAGGUUAAUAACCUUGGCGAUUGACGUUACCCGCAAAGAAGG